CAGGCUGGUCAGUACAAGUGUGUUGGGACAAGGAGAGGUCGGCCCCAGAAGUCACAUCUCAGCUCAGCUCUCCCCAUCAUCAUCACUGCUCUUCCCAAAGCUACACUGACUGUGAAGCCAAACCCUGCAUACACUGGAGAGAAAGUGACUCUGACGUGUUCAACAGAGUCUCACAGUGACUGGAGCUAUCAGUGGUUCAAAGACAGGAAUGAUAAUGUAGUAUCCCAGUCUGUCAGACACACUGUAACAGGGGACACCCUCAUCAUCAGUAGAGCUGGUGUGUCUGACCAGGGUCUCUACUGGUGUGAAGGGAACAGAGUGUCUAGACCCACAUCUUCACUAACAAGUGAUCCUGUCACUCUCACUGUUAAAGAUAGUCGUCCGACGGCUACACUGAGUUUAGACCAAGCGAACGUAUUCACAGG